UAAAACCCCCUUUUACACUGGGUGGUGAUCGUUGAGAGAUUGUUGAGCGAUGAAAAAGUGGCCAGAUCUCUCAAUGAUCUUUCAACGAUCUUCCAGCUCUCCUCAAAGGCU